rnacentral:rRNA from 1 species
UACAGAGGGUGCGAGCGUUAAUCGGAAUUACUGGGCGUAAAGCGCGCGUAGGCGGCUUUGCAAGUCGGGUGUGAAAUCCCCAGGCUUAACCUGGGAACUGCAUUCGAGACUGCAUUGCUAGAGUAUGGGAGAGGGAAGUGGAAUUUCCGGGUGUGAGCGGUGAAAUGCGUAGAUAUCGGAAGGAACAUCAGUGGCGAAAGCGGC